rnacentral:lncRNA from 1 species
AUUUUGAUUUCCUCUUUAAAUGCAAUUGUCCGGAGAUUGUAUAAAUCAGGAAGCCGAACGGAAGGACUUCCUGACCUCAUCUGGGACAUAAAAGGAGCUACAUCCUGAGUCAGAUUUCAACAGACAACAGAAGACACACAGCAAUAUGAACAAGAACCAAGAGAGGUGACAAAUAAGGGCAGGGAAGAUGGCUCAGUGAGUAACGUGCUUGUCACACAAGCGUGAAGACCUGUGCGUGCAUCUGCAGCAUCUGCCUUAAAAAGCUGAGUACAACAGCACAGAGUUACAAGCCCAGUUCUUAGAGAGGCAAAGGGGAUGGAACCCAGAGUCUUGCUGCCCAGAGAGUUUUGUGGAAACAGCAAGGUGUUUCAGCAAGUGACUAUGUCUCGAAAAAGAAGUUGGAAAUUGAUAAAGGAAGGAUAUCUCUAUAUGCACUUGCAAGAAUGAGAAUGUUUGUACAUGCACACAGGCACAGAUGAGAACACCUCCCCCCCGCACACGCAUGUACUAAUCAAUAUACAACAGAAGCAUUUAAUGGCCAGGUGGAAGAAAAGCAUGAAUGAAAGCAAUAAAAGUAUCCGGAUUUAAAAGUGAAACUGAUUAAAUAUGAUUAAGAAAAAGACAACAGGACAAAAAUCCAACUACAUGCAGCUUACAUCUAAAUUGUAAGGACAUAAAGAUUGAAAGCAAAGUAUGAAGCAAUAGAUUCCUCAGAAUUAAUCAAGACAAAAUUAAAGUAGUUAGAAGUGAGACAGUUCUUAUAGCUAAAUCAGCCCCACAACACCCAGAGGAAGUUAUCAGCAAUCACGGGAGACAUGUCAGAUCUGUAAAACAGCAGUUUACCACAGAGAAAUUAGUAGGGCCCAAAGUUGGUUUUAUAAAAUAACUAUUAAAUUUACAAACAGAUCACUGAGAACCAACAAGCAUCAUAAUGCAGAGACACAUGGACCACAAGUGUUGGUUUGAAUAUUCUUGGCCCAUGGGAAGUGUCACUAUUAGGAGGUGUGCCCUUCCUGGAGGAAGUAUGUGACUGUGGAGGUGAGGAUUUGAGUUCAUAUGUGUGCUCAACUUUGGCCAGUGUGAUCGAGACUCUACUACAGGAUGCCUGCAGAAGACAGUCUGUUUCUGGUUGCUUUCAGAUCAUGAUACAGACCUCUCGGCUCCUCCAGCACCGUAUAUCUACCUGUAUGUUGCCAUGCUUCCCACUGUGAUAAUAGAUUAAACCUCUGAAGCCUUAAGCCAGCCCCAAUUAAAUGUUUUCCUUUAUAAGA